rnacentral:lncRNA from 1 species
AAUUUGCACCACCUGCAUUUCAGCUCUUGAACUUUUACAUCUCGUUCAGGUGAGUAGAAGUCAAGAAUUCUGACAGACAAAAUCCAGGUAGUCUCGGAAAAUUCUUGCUACACUAGUGCUGCAAUAGGCCCUCAUCAACAGAAGCGGCAAAUUAAUAUUGAGAAGAAUCAUCGACACAAUGGUGAUGGCUCAUUCGCAGCACAUUUGCAGCUUGGGACGCUUAGGCAGGCGAUCCACUAGCUUGGAGCAGACGACAAUCAGCAGCAGGAAGCAGUUUGCAGCCCCAAAGUACGCUUUAAGACCAACUUUUCAUCGAGAUGGUCUUCCUUAAGGCUUCAAAUGAUAUUGCAGCGUGGGCCAAUCUGGAUUUGGACUAUAAAGCUGAAAUGUUCCAUUCCAAGUCUAAGGCAGUGUGUGUUGGGCAGAUUCUCCACAAGGAGGACUGGAAGAUCGCAUAAAAGCAGGACAGUUGCAGCCAGCACACCCUCGGAGAUCAUCUCGCAGGCGCGCGCAUGCCUGGAACUCUUCACCAGCUUUGUCUGUCAAACAGCCCUCAGAGCUGGGAUGUC